CCUACGGGCGGCAGCAGUAGGGAAUCUUCCACAAUGGACGAAAGUCUGAUGGAGCAACGCCGCGUGAGUGAAGAAGGGUUUCGGCUCGUAAAGCUCUGUUGGUAGUGAAGAAAGAUAGAGGUAGUAACUGGCAUUUAUUUGACGGUAAUUACUUAGAAAGUGACGGCUAACUACGUGCCAGCAGCCGCGGUAAUACGUAGGUGGCAAGCGUUGUCCGGAUUUAUUGGGCGUAAAGCGAGUGCAGGCGGUUCAAUAAGUCUGAUGUGAAAGCCUUCGGCUCAACCGGAGGAUUGAAUCAGAAACUGUUGAACUUGAGUGCAGGAGAGGAGAGUGGAAAUCCAGGUGUAGCGGUGGAAUGCGUAGAUAUAUGGAAUAACACCAGUGGCGAAGGCGGCUUUCUGGUCUGCAACUGACGCUGAGGCUCGAAAGCAUGGGGAGCGAACAGGAUUAGAUACCCUAGUAGUC
rnacentral:rRNA from 1 species